GAUGAACGCUGGCGGCGUGCUUAACACAUGCAAGUCGAACGAUGAAGCCCAGCUUGCUGGGUGGAUUAGUGGCGAACGGGUGAGUAACACGUGAGUAACCUGCCCUUAACUCUGGGAUAAGCCUGGGAAACUGGGUCUAAUACCGGAUAGGAGCGUCCACCGCAUGGUGGGUGUUGGAAAGAUUUAUCGGUUUUGGAUGGACUCGCGGCCUAUCAGCUUGUUGGUGAGGCAAUGGCUCACCAAGGCGACGACGGGUAGCCGGCCUGAGAGGGUGACCGGCCACACUGGGACUGAGACACGGCCCAGACUCCUACGGGAGGCAGCAGUGGGGAAUAUUGCACAAUGGGCGCAAGCCUGAUGCAGCGACGCCGCGUGAGGGAUGACGGCCUUCGGGUUGUAAACCUCUUUCAGUAGGGAAGAAGCGAAAGUGACGGUACCUGCAGAAGAAGCACCGGCUAACUACGUGCCAGCAGCCGCGGUAAUACGUAGGGUGCGAGCGUUAUCCGGAAUUAUUGGGCGUAAAGAGCUCGUAGGCGGUUUGUCGCGUCUGUCGUGAAAGUCCGGGGCUUAACCCCGGAUCUGCGGUGGGUACGGGCAGACUAGAGUGCAGUAGGGGAGACUGGAAUUCCUGGUGUAGCGGUGGAAUGCGCAGAUAUCAGGAGGAACACCGAUGGCGAAGGCAGGUCUCUGGGCUGUAACUGACGCUGAGGAGCGAAAGCAUGGGGAGCGAACAGG
rnacentral:rRNA from 1 species